UAGCAUAAUAAUUUGUUUUUUAAAUGAAAACUAGUAUGAAUGGCCAUCCAUUUUCUAACUGUCUCUCUAUAUUCUCUUUUAAAUUUCUACCCCCGUGAAGAAGCGGGGAUUUCAAAGUAAGACGAAAAGACCCUGUCGAGCUUAAGCUAAUAAAAGAAAUUUUAAUAUAUUAAUUUAUAUUUAUCUUUUUUAAGCUUUGGUUGGGGCAACCAUGGAGUAAAAUUAUCCUCCAGUUAUAAUAAGAUGAAUUUUAUUCUCUUUAUAUAUUUAAUGAACCAAACUAUUUUGGUAAACAGAAAAAGUUACCGCAGGGAUAACAGCGUAAUCUUCUUUGAGAGCCCAUAUUGACAAGAAGGUUUGCGACCUCGAUGUUGGAUUGGGGCAACCAAAAAGCGCAGCCUCUUUUAAAGGUUG
rnacentral:rRNA from 1 species